UCAUCAUCCUCGGUCUGGGUGGGGGGAACGGGGCAGAUAAGGAGGGUUGAGAAGAGACUGUGGCCAGGAAGCAGUGGGGAAGGAGAAAAUGAGCACAGCGACCCCAGGACCCCGUGGUGCUCCCGGCCAGGCGUGGGGCGGGGCCCGGGCGCCCGCCCCCACCCUGCAGGAAGAUCCCUCCCCCCAGGCCCACAUGUGCCCCUCCUACUUCGGAUUGGGGGCAGGCGGAGAGGGCCGGGAACCCCCACCCGCUGGACACACGGAAGGCUUUCUCUAUUUUGCACAUGCCCUGCCCACACCCCCACUAAAUCACCGGCCUCCAACGCUCACUCGCCCGCUCCCUCCCCCCGUCCCUCCCCCGUGACCCUCGUGGACAGGUCCGCACAAUAAGCCCCACUCCAUCUUGA